AAGUCGUAACAAGGUUUCCGUAGGUGAACCUGCGGAAGGAUCAUUAACACAUCCUUUUAACAAAUAAUCAACUGGCGCACUCAAACGAACCGCACCGGAGGAGGUUUAGAAGUUAUGCACAGAUUCCCUGCUUGCUUCGGCGCGGGAAUGGCUCCUAAGCUGUUCGUCCACUCGAAUCUGAUUCUAGUGAGGCGAUGCUCUGACUUGGUCGGUGACUGACAGCCUCUCUGCAUGGCUGGACCCAUUUUUUUUCUUCUUCUAUCUUUUAUGUUUUUAAAUGCCGAUACGUUCUUAGCUUUGCUAAGUUUGUAUUGUGCGACCUCUUGAGCUUCAUCUUAGGAUUUGGCUCAUUGGCAAUCAAAACACAACUCUUAACAGCGGAUAUCUCGGUUCUC
rnacentral:misc_RNA from 1 species